UCGUCACGCCUGUGCCCGGCUAUUCCCCGACUGGCUUUGGCUUUGCUCUAGUAUCAUUACUUUCGCUACGACAUAGUGUUCGCGCGCCCCGGAAGUUACAGGAUGCAUGUGUUGUCAAACUAUAGUGUUCUGCAACAAGCCUCUACUGUUAAAAGCAGAUACUGAACAUAAGCAAGCCACUGAAGACACGUAGGCAAAGAAGCAGGAAAAUGUUAACCUCAACUUCACAGCUUAUUAAACAGCUGUCAGAUUUGGCGAGCCGUCUGCCCGCCCUGCGGCCGGCGGCUGGAGCCGAGG